CACAGCCUGCAAUUUGGUUAUUUGACUGGGGUAAAAUGUCCAGUACAUGAAGGUGACACAUACCUUCAUUCAGUGGUGGAAAUUCAUGACGCUGUAUUUCCACUCUACCUUGACAGCAUGAUUGCUCAUGCCAGUUAUGAAAUUACCUUUUCAUCUUGAAUACAGCACAGAUUAUGUAGUCUUGGAAUGGUGGGAUGAUUUAAAAUGAUGAAUUGAAAGUUAACGUGGCCCAUUAAUCUUGUGGGAUGUUGAAUCCAGUGGUGCAGAGAGACAAGGACUUAGAACUACAACAAAUGUUUAUUGCUGUUAGAAUGAGUAUUACAGAUGAGCAGGGAAGCAGAAUACUCGUUAAAACUCCCUUCAUAGCAGCUGCUCUCCCUGCAGGAGAGCCACGCAUAAGUGGUCUACGAGGAUUGUACACGGUGGGUGAUAUUGUGGAAGCCAAUUGCACAUCACCACCUUCAAAACCAGUAGCACAUGUAACUUGGUACAUGAAUGACAAACAAAUGGAUGCAGAAUGGCUUAUUGACUAUGGAAUACCUGCUGAGUUUACAGCAAGGUUAGACUCAGAUGAAUCUACAAAUCUACAUGUGGCUAUUAAGGGCAUUAGAUUACCAGCCACAGAAAUCACUUUCCCCAACAGGAUACUCAAACUAAGCUGCAUGGCCAGGCUUGGCUCUCAGCAAUGGGAACAACAAUGUUGGACGUUCCUCAUCCAUCAUCAUGUGUCUGGUCUUGGAAGUGCCAAUUGGUCAAGGGAAGAAGGACAAUUUGUGGCUGCCAUACUGGUGUUGAUUCUGAAUAGCAGCUAAAUAAGGCAUUACCAAUAGCCUUAAAAUGGAAAGAUAUGGGGUAUAGGAAUAAUUAACCAAGUAAAACUGGUACAAACAAGUGGAAACAGCAGGGAUAAAGAAGCAACUGCUUGGUACCAGAAUGCCCUAGGGUGCAGGAGUGGUAAAGUAGACUUGUGUACCCUUGAGUGGAUGAAGUCAAAGACACGCUUAUAAUAUCCAUGACAAGAAAUUUAAUUUCUUGUGUUUGUACAUACAAGCAAAGAUACACUGUAUCUCAAGUUUGUCAGAAAUGGUGUUCACUCAUCUGUGUUCUGUUGUAGUGGUCGAGAUAUCGACCAACACACAUUAUAAGAAAAACAGAAGGACGUUGAAAAAGGAAAUAAUUGUUCAUCUGAUGUCAUGCCCAUCCUCAUAAAAAUGUAAGAAUUUAGUUCCUGAGGGUUUGCCUGCCACAGUAUACAGUAUGGACGUAGUGUCCUGUCUGAUGCUCUCACAUUGAUGGUGACAAAGAAGCAUUAUGUGCCUAAGUAUUUGUCAGCCUGCACCAGAAGUGAGAAACUUGCAUUCAUUUUCAACACCUUCAGCAUUAGAAUAGUUAGUGAAUUAUUUGAAAUUAUAUGCAGCAACAUACAUACAAAGAUCUUUUACCUGCCAGCAGUCCGCAAGCAAAGUAUACCAACCAAGCGACCGCCGCUUGUUGGCGAAGUUAGUGCCAACAUCUGUGGAUAUAGGGUGUCACUUGGCCAGCGUGAUGGCUCUCCACGGCCAUUAAUCUCGGUUUCCUGGACCAGAGCCACUAUUUCCUUGAAAUAGCUCCUCAGUUAUCCUCACGAGGCUAAGUACCCAUAUCAUUUUUUAAAUAUUUUACAGACAGUCUGUGAAACUGUGUUUUGAUUAGGUGAUUAGCUGUAUGAAUAAGGAAUGAAUUUCCAUUUUAAUGGCAGUUUCAUCGUCCAUAAUCAGGGACUAAUUGUAUGAGUGAUGCAGCAAUGUGGCCAGUGUAUACAUGCAGUUGCUCUUGGAAUCUAGUGUCCUCUUUGCAAAGGGACAAGUGGAGAGAACAGUGGGUGGAGUCAGGCAUUGACUUAUAUCCAGGGCAUCAGUUGUGUGUUUGAAUGUUUGAAGACUCAGAUGUUAGCAAAAGUUCCUAGUGGCUGUGUUUUUAAGGUGCUUCUUCAUUGAUGUAUGCUGGUAGCCAUGGUCAGUGAUUAGCCUAGACUGAAUCCUGUAUUCCUCUUCAAGUUACUGGAAUGUAACAGGGCUGGACUGGUGGGCAUGUACUAUGAAUUUGUAGCCAGUGUGGCAUGUGUAGUUCUUGCCACUACUUUUGUAUACUGUAGUUCAGUAGCUGUAGUUAUUGCUGUGGUAUCCUGUAGUUAAUUGUAUGCAGUACUACAUUAUGUUUGGAGAUGGCACAUGGAUGGUACUGGCCCUUGAGAUUGGGUUACAUCCAGACAUCAUCAGAGAAAUGGGAUUUAGUGUAAGUCUGUCUGAGAACCUAGCUACCGGUGCAAAUCAGCAAAGCAUAACCAUUGACACACAAGUACUGGGACUGAUUCCUUCAUUCCACAUUAUCCAUGUUAAAUGGAGCUGAUCAUGACCAAAUGACGAGAACACCUGAUCACCUGUUCCCCAGGUUCAUCAGAAUGGAAGCAGACAUUCUCUGUGAAGCACUGGAAGUUGCACACUGACAUGGGGGUUUGUUGAAGGAGGUUUUUUUUGUAGGAAUUGAGAUGGGUUGCAGAUGGGUUGGAAGUUGAACACAUGAAUUCGUGGUUUUGUCGUCUUCUGCUCCAUACAGUCUUUCUGAACCAAUGUGGCAAGACAUUGAAUUUUUUGUUUUUAAUGGAUUUAAUGAAGUGUAGUAACAGCAGUUCAGUCUAGUAUCUCAUGGAUGUAUGGUGCUGUUUGUUAAAAUGUUUCUGUCCAGAUAUGCCUAUGCAUAUCUUGGUGCCCGAGUUGUAAUGACACUGACAUGAAAGAUAAGUGAAAUAUAUGUAAUUCUUAUUUGGAGGUCAGUGUUUGCUGUAAGGAUGCAUGUACUAUUAUGUACCAUUUGGAUUGAAAUAAAGGCUUAAAGCCCAUGUUGGACUCUCCCUUAUCCCAGUUUUCUCACUGUGUAUUUUGUAAUAGUUUCUGGGCUUCUGUUUAUUAUCUGUGCAUGAAGUUUUUUUCUUGUGUUUUUGUCAUUAGUGUGUAAUAUACUGUUUUAUAGGAUUUGUUUGUUUUCAGAUCCCUCUUAAG